GGUUGUGGCUCAGUGGUAGAGCACUUGCCUAGUAUGUAUGAGGCACUGGGUUUGAUUCUCAGCACCA
rnacentral:tRNA from 1 species